rnacentral:ncRNA from 1 species
AAAUAGAUCAGUAUGGACAUAUCUGGGAGCAAAAUGUAUUUACUCGAAGAAAAACAAACACAACUGAAAGGGGAUCAAACCUUGACUUGCGCAGGAUGCAGAUCAAAAGUCACGC